GAUGAACGCUGGCGGCGUGCCUAAUACAUGCAAGUCGAGCGAACAGAUGAGGAGCUUGCUCCUCUGACGUUAGCGGCGGACGGGUGAGUAACACGUGGAUAACCUACCUAUAAGACUGGGAUAACUUCGGGAAACCGGAGCUAAUACCGGAUAAUAUAUUGAACCGCAUGGUUCAAUAGUGAAAGACGGUUUUGCUGUCACUUAUAGAUGGAUCCGCGCCGCAUUAGCUAGUUGGUAAGGUAACGGCUUACCAAGGCGACGAUGCGUAGCCGACCUGAGAGGGUGAUCGGCCACACUGGAACUGAGACACGGUCCAGACUCCUACGGGAGGCAGCAGUAGGGAAUCUUCCGCAAUGGGCGAAAGCCUGACGGAGCAACGCCGCGUGAGUGAUGAAGGUCUUCGGAUCGUAAAACUCUGUUAUUAGGGAAGAACAAAUGUGUAAGUAACAAUGCACGUCUUGACGGUACCUAAUCAGAAAGCCACGGCUAACUACGU
rnacentral:rRNA from 1 species